GGUCCCAUAGCUCAGUUGGAUAGAGCAACAGAUUUCUAAUCUGUCGGUCUUUGGUUCGAGUCCAAAUGGGAUCACAA
rnacentral:tRNA from 1 species